GAGAUCGCUUCCUGCAGAGGAGGCAACAGGCCCCGCUAGCAGGUCAGGGUCCCGGGCAGGCGCAGGUGCCCCCCGGCCUCUCAAGCAGGGACUGCGGCGAGCUCAGACGCGGCUGACGGGCAGAGACUCGCGCUUGGGCUCAGUGCGUGUGAAGUGGGCCUCGGGCUGCGGAGGAGGGCAGCACCCCGUGGCUCCUCGCGCUGCUGCGAGCAGGGCCGCCUGGCAGGGGCGGGGGCCGGUGGGCGGGAGUGUCGGGGUAAGGCCGCGGACUCCUCCCAUGCCGCUGAGCAGUGGACAGCGGGGACUGGAGACCUCCAGGUGAGGAAGGGGAACGAAGUCAAGAAGGCCACAUGUCCUGGCUUCCAGGCUUGGUGUCCUCAGAAGCCUCCAGAACGUCCAUGGAACCCGCCCCUGCGCCCACCGCCUCCUGCUGUCUUUCCAGCUGAGUUCCGGCUGCCCCUCACCCUCGGCUUCUUCACUCUGCCUCUCCCCAGCCAGCGCCCUGCUCCCCGGUCCUCAACCACCACCUUCCACCUGCCUGGGCCUUCAUCGCCUCCGAGCUCCCCUUCCACACCAAACCUGGCGUCCGUUUUCCUCCAGGCCUGCACCAGCACAGCUGAAGGGGAGAGAGACCCAACCUCAUCCACUGGGCCUCCCCUCAACCAGGGCCACAACCUCAAGGGGCCAUGCCACCUCCAACACCUAUUUCCCACCUUCUACUCUCUCCACACCCUGGGACACCACCCGCCUCUCUCAGCUGACGUUUUCCUUCUUGUUUUGUGUGCAUGGUGCUUGUGUGAGAAAGUGGACACACAGUAAGUGCGGCUUCCAGAUGCGUCCGCCACCUGCCCUCCGUGCCACGCGCUUCCCCCUACCUAGGGGAGCCUCCACCAGACAGGGAACCCACGCCUUGCCACCCUUCUCUCUCCCUCCCACUUCACCUGUCCGCAUCAUUUCUGGAGCCCUUUCUUUCUGGCACGAGAUGCUCCAGGGCCCUGUUGUAUUCUCCCUGCCCCAGCCUGAACCCAGCUAUUUCUGCUGCAGCCUGGUUCAUUGUGGGAGAAUGUCAUGCAGAGCCCGGGAUCUGGCUCCGGAUGUGCUCAUUGCUACUGGGGUGUCAUUGCAGCUGGCGGAGCAAGGGAACACAUCUAUGUACAUGCCCACACGCAUAUGUAUACACACAGUUUCAUGGGCGUGUUUGUCUGUUUUUCUUGGGCACCACGUGUUUACUCUGAUGCCAGGCCAACACUACAGGGCUCAACCUGUUCGGAAUGAGGGGCCUCCUGCUUUGGGAGUGAGGAACCUGGCUCUGAUUAUCUCCUGUGUAACCAGUCUCUCAUCCUUGCUUCCACCCCACCAUAUGCUACCCGCUCCUCACCCUGCGUGGCCUCUGACCUCCGCUGGACCACCGAGGCCCCGCCCCCACAGGGGCGCCUGCCUGCCUAGCACAGUUGAGCAAGGAGUGAAUUCCCAGUGAAAUUUUUUUAAUUUUUAUUUUAUUUAUUUAUUUUGGGUUUUUUUUUCUUUCUUUCUUUCUUUUUGAGAUGGGGGUCUCCCUGUGUUGCCCAGGCUGGUCUCAAACUCCUGGGCUCCAGCGAUCCUCCCACCUCAGCCUCCCAAAGUGCUGAGAUCACAGGCAGGAGCCACUGCGGACACAGCCUGAAUUGUCAAUCAUAUCACUCCUGUGCCUGAAACCAUUGACAGUUCCCAUCACCCGCCCUCUCCCCAGUGUCCAGGCCCCUCCUCCCCUCCCCACUAUCAAGACACUGGCUCCUGAUGCUCCCCGACACCACCGAAUUCCAUCCUCCAGGCUUUGGCCCAGUGGCUCCAUCUGCCUGGGACGGUCUCCCCAUAACCUCGUGUAGUUCAGGCCUUUGCGGGUGUCACGUCCAUGGAGAUGUCUCCCCAGCCCUAACCAUCCCUCCCAGGUGCCUCUCUGCCUGCUCCGGGCCCUCCCCCUGUUGCAGUGUGAGCACUGUGAAGCCCACUCUUAACCGCUGCUCCACCAGCCCAGCGUGGCACCAGGCACACGGGGUCAUCGGAGAACAGCUGGUGUGGCUGAUAGGCUCUGAGUUCUGAGUGAGGAAGAUGCAACCCAGCACAGGGACCAGUGCCCAGAGCAAGGGAUCAGGAGGGACAGAACCAUCACCUGGGCCAGAACAAGGGCAGGGUGCGAGGAACCUGAGUGGUUGGACUUCAGGAGAGCCGGGUUUCCGCAGGAAGGCUUCUCUGCUCGGACACUCGAGGGGCAGGGUGGAGCAUGGGGCACAUCCAGGGCUGAGGGACGAUGCAGAGUCGGGGGACAGUGUUCUGCACGUUGGCAGGUGAGGGGUCAGAGGUGGCCCUCAGAAUCUGGCAGGCCUAAUGCCAGCCUUCAAUGACCACCUGAAUUAAAAGUGGAAAUGAGUAGCAGGGAGAGGAGGCUGAGGCAGCAGCAGGGAAGCCCAAAGUGGGCAGUGGCCGUUUGUCACCAGAGACCUUCCAGCAGCUGUGGGAUGGGAGAGGCCCCAGAAGGUCCCUGCAAGCCUGGCCCAGGGCCAUGGAGGAGCCUCAAGAGGAGUGGGCACCACACUGCGGGCCAGACUGGGCAGUGGCAGGGCUGUACCCCAGGGCUCUCUUGUCCCACAGGCCACCAUCAGCCUGGUCAGCCCAUCUCAGUACAGCCAGGGCCAUGAAGGAAGGCCACACAGGAGGACCCCAGGCCAGUGCCCGCCCUGGCCAUAUCCAAGGGGCAGGGUGCAGCCCCAGCACCUCCAGCUUAUCUGUAGGUCCUCUAGGUAAGGCAGGGCUGUCCCUGGAACUUGCCCCAUGGCCCAGGCAGAAAUCCUAUUUGAUGGUUUAUGGAGGGCAAAGUUGAGAGGAAGGAGGGAGGGAAGGAGCAGGGGCCCCGGGUGCUUACUCCCAGGUCUUCACUGCAGCCUGGGGCUGCCCUCUGAAGUACACAGUCCCUGGGAGGCAGAGACCUCUGCCCUGAGGACGAUGUGAAUCCAAAGGUGCUUCUCACCUCCAGCCAGGGCCCAUCCCUGGAGAUAAGAGACACUCAGAGCCCUUGGUGGCCCAGGGGGGUCUAGAGCCGGCCUCAGACCUGCCCUCCCUGCCCCGCCUCCAUUCCCUUCAGCCCAGGCCUCUUGUAUCUUUUGGCCCUCACCUACCACCCCGCCCUCUCCCUGGCAGAGCAAACGCUUCCCAGUAACACUCCCUUCUCUGCAAGGAUCUCAGAGAUCAGCCUGUGUCCCUGAGUCCAGAGCCACACCCGGUCAGCUCUGGGUCCCUGAGUCCAGAGCCAUACCCGGUCAGCUGUGCCCAACCCCGGGCAAGACUGAGCUGGGCCCUGGGGUGGAGGCGGCUGCACCGAUACUGGCUCCACACCAGGCCUUCUCUAAAACCCCACGGGAGCGGGAGAUACAAUUCAGAUGCCCCACCCCCACCUGCUUCUCAGCAGGAAAUGGUCUAAUGUGAAAGUAGGUCUUUUAAAUCCGAAUUAUUCAAUCUGUGCAUGUGACAGGACCCACAGCUCCAUCUCUGUGCGCGCCCUGGGCGCCGCGCUCCAGCCAGGCUUUGAAGGGUCUCAGAGCUGCAGGGGACGUUUCUAGAUUUCCAGCUCUGGCAGGAGAGGUCCCUUUGUCUUUCCCUGGGCUCUGGGCUCCUGCAGGGCGUCUGUCCUCCUCCUACCAGCACUGUGAGGUUCUCCACCACACGGCCCUCUGCUGUCGUCUUCACUUGCAGUGAGAUCCAGGCCCCAAAGGACAGAGAAUAAGGAGGGAGGGAGAGAGGAGAGCAUCGUGAUGGUGCCCAGGGGGUGCAGAAUGUAGGUGAUCAAGAAGAAAGCCCUAAUUAGCUCCUGCAGCUUUCAAAGGAAGGGGCUGGUGGAGGAAUGGGACCAUGGCACCUCUCCAACCCUCAGCACACACCUGCUGAGGCCCACUGGGUGCCAGGGUGGGUUUAGCACCAGGCUCUGGCCCUGAGGCCAAAGCAGGGCAGCUCUGCUCAGGGGGUUGAGUAGGGGCCUGGUUCCCAGCUUCAUGGGGAGCGGCCAGUGAGGAGGUGAUGGUGUAAGUGAGCAGAUGCAUUGUGGGGGCAUGUUUCCUCUCCCUGCUAGAGUUGGACCAGAAUCCCCAGAGAAAACUCACGUGGCCUCUUGUCACUCUGGUGAGCAGACCCAGGUGGGCUGACACUCGCAGAGGGAGGUGCGUAGCUUAGACCACCAGCUCCAGUAAAGACCUGACAACACCCAGCCCCUGCCUCCCUUGCAGGCCAAUGGAAGAAUCCACCUUCUUCCUUAGAGUCCUUUAUCACAGGCUCAUCUGGCCUCACUGUAGAAUCCCAAAACUGCAUGCACAGAGAUAGAAAUCCUGACUAUGUCCAGUGGCCCUAAGUACCACAGAUGAACCUAAAGGAAGGGCUUUUUUUUUUUUUUGAGACAGAGUCUCACUCCGUUGCCCAGGCUGGAGUGCAGUGGCACGAUCUCGGCUCACUGCAACCUCUGCCUCCCGAGUUCAAGCAAUUCUCCUGCCUCAGCCUCCUGAGGAGCUGGGACUACAGGGGCGCACCACCAUGCCUGGCUAAUUUUUGUAUUUUUAGUAGAGACGGGGUUUCACCGUGUUGGCCAGGCUGGUCUCAAACUCCUGACCUCAUGAUCUGCACACCUCGGCCUCCCAGAGUGCUAGGAUUACAGGUGUUAGCCACAGCACCCAGCCAACGCGGGGCUUUUCUUUCUUUCUUUCUUUUUUUUUUUUUUUUUUGAGAUGGAGUCUCGCUGCGUUGCCCAGGCUGGAAUGCAGUGGCGCAAUCUCAGCUCACUGCAACCUCUGCCUCCUGGUUCAACCGAUUCUCCUGCCUCAGCCUCCUGAGUAGCUGGAAUUACAGGCACCUGCCACCACACUCAGCUAAUUUUCGCUUUUUGUUUUUUGUUUUUUUGAGACGGAGUGUUGCUGUGUCACCCAGACUGGAGUGCAGUGGCGCGAUCUCAGCUCACUGCAAGCCCCGCCUCCCGGGUUCACGCUAUUCUCCUGCCUCAGCCUCCUGAGUAGCUGGGACUACAGUCGCCCGCCACCAUGCCCGGCUAAUUUUUUUUAUUUUUAGUAGAGACAGGGUUUCACCAUGUUAGCCAGGAUGGUCUCGAUCUCCUGACCUCAUGAUCUGCCC
rnacentral:lncRNA from 1 species